GACAGAGGGUGCAAACGUUGCUCGGAAUUACUGGGCGUAAAGCGCGUGUAGGUGGAUUGGUGUGUCAGAUGUGAAAUCCCUGGGCUCAACCCAGGAACUGCACCUGAAACUACCAGUCUUGAGUAUGGGAGAGGUGAGUGGAACUGCGAGUGUAGAGGUGAAAUUCGUAGAUAUUCGCAAGAACACCAGUGGCGAAGGCGGCUCACUGGCCCAUAACUGACGCUGAGGCACGAAAGCGUGGGGAGCAAACAGG
rnacentral:rRNA from 1 species